GCCUAUGGUGAUACCACCGUGAACACACCCAUCUCAUCUGAUCUCAGAAGCUAAGCAGAGUAGACUCUGGUUAGUACUUGGAUCAGAGAAAAAAAUGCCUGUCCAACUCUUCUGCCCUGUUAUACCCAAAUAAGGCC
rnacentral:rRNA from 1 species